GUACCCUUAUCUCAGUUGGUCAGAGCAGACGGUUAUGAGCCGUCUGGUCGUAGGCUCGAGUCCUACAGGGUACA
rnacentral:tRNA from 1 species